rnacentral:rRNA from 1 species
UACGUAGGAUCCAAGCGUUAUCCGGAAUCACUGGGCGUAAAGCGUGCGUAGGCGGCGUGUUAAGUGAGAUGCGAAAUCUUGUGGCUCAACCAUAUAGACUGUGUCUCAUACUGGCAUGCUAGAGAAUGGCAGAGGCAAGUGGAAUUACCGGUGUAGCAGUGAAAUGCGUAGAGAUCGGUUAGGAACACCAAUGGCGAAGGCAGCUUGCUGGGCCAUUUCUGACGCUAAGGCACGAAAGCGUGGGGAGCGAACAGG